UACGUAGGGGGCAAGCGUUGUCCGGAAUCAUUGGGCGUAAAGAGCGUGUAGGCGGCCCGGUAAGUCCGCUGUGAAAGUCCAGGGCUCAACCCUGGGAUGCCGGUGGAUACUGUCGGGCUCGAGUCCGGAAGAGGAGUGUGGAAUUCCUGGUGUAGCGGUGAAAUGCGCAGAUAUCAGGAGGAACACCAAUGGCGAAGGCAGCACUCUGGGACGUGACUGACGCUGAGACGCGAAAGCGUGGGGAGCAAGCAGG
rnacentral:rRNA from 1 species